CGGACAUCACUGCGCAGCGCACGCGCAAUAGCUCCAGAGAGGGACGUACCACCGCCAGUGGGAACGGCCUUCCAGAGUUGUCUUGAGUAUGUGGAAGUGGUACCUGGUAUCCUGAGGAUCUACUUGAUCCAACUUGCUGAGAAAGUUGCCACUGAGGAUUUGUUAUGGGCAUUCAAUUCGCAGUGAAAGUUACGCCAACUGAUGCCAGUGAGGAAAAGCAGAACUGCAGAAUUGCUGGAUUGGACAUGGGCUGUCAGAAGCCAAAGAUGACUGUAGUAUUUCUGCCCUGAUCAGCUAGAAGAAUGGAGUUGCCAGAUACCAAGAUAUGGAAGAAGGUACAAGGAACAGAAUUCAGCAGUGAAGCCAUCCAGACCUGGGCUUUUCUUUGUUGCUAUUCCCCUGCUGGGGAUCUUCCCCAAAGAAUUAAAAGAAUCAUACCACAGUGAUAUAUGUGCACCCAUGUUCAUAGC
ensembl:lncRNA